GCUCGGAGUCCAGCGGCUGCAGCUGCAGCGCCUGCAGCCAACCCGGGCUUGGGCAGCAGGGAGGCGGGUCCCUGCGCCCGGCUCGGGGCAGCCCCAGGCACGGGUGUGUGUGUGUGGGUCCUUCUCCUUUCCAAGGCCCGCGGCGGCACUGCGCCCGGGGAGGCGGCAAGAACAACGACCUUGGCCAGAGUGCGGACACUGGGCGGAGGCCGAACCGCGGGGAGGCGCAUCAGGCUGCCCGGGCCCAGUAAUCCCUGCUGGGCCUCCAACUGAGGACCCCAGGGGAGAGAAGCUUUUGUGUGCAACCUGCAAUUCUGCUGUUCAUCCUUCAGCACAGAUAGAAUUCGAGAAACUGCCAUUCGACUGCUUGGAGGAGACUUGAGGUCUGCCCUGGCCCCAGGGUGCCAGUGGAUUCUUGGAGUUGUGUCCUGCAGAGUAGACACAGGUCUCUGCUUUUUCCACAUUGCCCACCCUACUCUGACCUCCUCACUCUCUCUAGUACCUAGGAAGGUCACUUCUCAGUACCAAAUACUUUUUCUGUGCCAGUGCCUUCCUGUGCAGAAGAACUGGAAAAAAAAGUGGGGUGGUGCAGUUGCCGGAGAAAAAACUGAGGAGAUUCAAAGCAACAGACUGAACUCCUGAAGACUGGUGCCACUCAGACAGAUGCUGUCUGUCACCUGGGAGGGACAGAGCCAUCUUGUUGUAGGGGCAGAUGUUUCCUCUGCCCCUUUCCCUGUCUCUUUUGUCUUUUUCAUGGCUUCUGAGGUAGGAUUGCAGGAGAAGGCUUACUAAGGCAGAUGCUACAGGUAGGACAAAGUGAGCACUAGCUGCUGAUGAGGGUUCUUGUCACGUGUACUAUGCAGCGUGUGGUGAAGAGGAUGGUGAAGUGGAUGUCUUUUCACCCUUUAGCAGGAAGGCUGCUGGUUAGACUGCUUGGCGGGUCCUUCCAGAGCCAGGAGGCAGCCUUAAUGGAGAUCUGGGUUUCUGCAAGUCUGUGAGAAACAAGAGUCCCUUCUUCAGAAACCUGUUCUUUCAGGCCUCUUUGCUGACAGCCUGACCCUUAGAAAUAUUUCUUUCUGCUGAGUCAAACAGACCAAGGUAUGCUGUCUCCCUUAGAGCUGCUCAGCCCUGCUCUGGCUGGUGAAUGAGUAUGCAGGUGUCCUCAUGCUGACUAAGCCAUUUUCCUCCAUCUUGAAUCUGCUGCCUGUCACCUCCUGCCCUUCCUCCCUCGUGCUUCUCCUAGUGACACUGCCAUUUGUCUGCUGCCUUGACACACCUUGACAUGCUGCUCUGAGCUCCUCUGGGUACAGCUCUGACACCACAAAGAACUGUUACCUGUCUCAUUGCUCAUCUGGACUUUAAGACUCUGGUGAGAUUUUUCCGGAUCCUGUUUUUCUCGAAGAGCAAUUGAUGGGGGUGGGGGUGGGGUGAAUGGUCUUUUGAGGAUUUGUUUGAGAGGCAUCACAUCUCCUGGGAAUGUGGAGGUACUGGGUAGGAAUCUGGAUGGGCCACAGCUUUACAGGGUAACUUUGGCGCCAUAUUUCCUUUUUGUGCCUCAGUUUCUCCACCCACUCCAUGGGAACACUCAUAUCUUCCCCUCCCUACCUCAUGGGGAUAUGGUUAGACUCAUCUGGGGACCGUGCUAUGCAAAUUUAUGCAUUUUACAUGGAACUUGAUUUUCAGCUUAUGGCUGUCUCUCUGUGUCCCAGUGGCAAGAUCUGCCCCUCCAACCCCCCUAGAAUCCAAAGCUUAAAACUAUUCUGGGCCAUUAGCUCCUUCAGUCCAUCCCUUGACUACUUGAACUGGAUGUCUGUCUGUCAGUCUGUCUUUUCACCCUUUAGCGGGAAAGCUGCUGGUUAGACUGCUUAGUGGGUCCUUCCUGAGCCAGGAGUCAGCCUUAAUGGAGAGCUGGGCUUCUGCAAGUCUGUGAGAAACAAGAGUCCCUGCUUCAGAAACCUGUUCUGAGGCCAGGGAUGGAUGGGCUCUCUACAUCUUUCUGGCUACUCCUGGUUCCUGGGGACCUUUGCAGAAGGACCCCACCAGGCCCCAAAGGGAUGGUCCCAGCUGAGGGCACAUAUAAGAGCAUGCAUGAAGAGCCUGCCCCCUCCCCUCACCCCAUCCUCAUCACCAUUCUUAAUGAAACACUUCCUUUUUCAAGUCAGAGCAGGCCUGGAAGCAAAGGGUUUGUGGAGAGCUGGGCUCUCCAGGGACUCUGGUUGCCAUAGCAACUUUCCAGACAAUUCUCUCUACCCUCUGAUUUGGGCAAGCAGGGAGCACUGGAGUCUCUGUCCUCCCAGCUUCUGAGACUGGAACACCUUUCCCAUGGUGAUAGCUUAGGGCCUGGAAGUGCUGAGAUAGGGCAGAUGACUGCCAGAAAAUGAGGGGGACUGGAAGCAGGAACCUCCCCCGCCCCCACCAGCCUUCCUUCCUCAACCUUCCUUCCCGGUUGGAUUCCUUCCACUGAAGUUGCCUCAUCUCACUUUGCUGGAGUCCUCAGAAACUUCACCCAGAUUCUGAGAACUUCCAGCUAAGAUGGACUGUGUUGUUGACACCUUUCUCAAAGUGACAAGGGUAAACUUGGAGAUGCCCACCUGGGGAGGCCAUAAUAGCUUUAGACCAGAAUGGCAUCAGUGCUGGAGGCUCUCCUCACAGAGAGGCUGAGAAACACUCCUCUUACUUCCCGGGCUCCACACCCAGGCAGAUACUUCUGGGUGGCUCUUUCCAGGACAUCGAAGAAGAACCAAAUGGCUGUGCCCUGACCUAGUUUCUGUGAAGGAUUUUUGCCAAAGUGAUUCCUCUAUCACCGGGAGCCUCUUCCUGUGGAUUUUGUGCCCUGAGUCACAGGCUGGGAAUCAGCUGGGAUAGCCCUGUGACAGCUGCCAGCCAGGGCGGGGCUCACCUGACGCCAGCUGGCAGGAGUUCCCAGAGGUCCUUCUGGAUCCAGGCUCAGCCUAGCCUCGGGUCUCCCUCCCGCCCGAUGCUCCCUCAGGAGAGAGGGGACAGCUGGCUGCCUUGGCCUGAGAGGGAAAAGGCUGUUGCAGGGGUUCCAAGCAGGGACCCCUCUGUGAGGGUUUCUUGUGUCAGCUGGACAACUUCUCCAGGAGAUGAAACCUGGCCUGGCGCCCUCUAGAGGCCUCCACAAGUGGUGCAUGGACUAGAAACUGCUGAACUGGACCUGCUUGUUACAGAAGGCUUGGGAUGCAGGGGUGAGACUGUGGGGGCGGGUGAAAGCCAUGGUGUGAACAAAGAAGAGAAGGUAUGUGUGUGGAGGGGGGCCAGGAUCGGGGGACCCCGGGACAUGCAUGGAUGUGCUGACAAGUCUAACAAAUAAAUAUAUGGCAAAGUCUUGGA